rnacentral:tRNA from 1 species
GGCAAGAUGGCCGAGUGGUCGAAGGCGGUUGAUUUGUACCCAACUCCCGAAAGGGGCGUGGGUUCGAACCCCACUCUUGUCA